AAUCAACGCUGGCGGCGUGCCUCAGACAUGCAAGUCGAACGAUUAAAGCUCUCUUCGGAGAGUGUAUAGAGUGGCGCACGGGUGAGUAACACGUAAGUAAUCUACCCUCGAGUGGGGAAUAACGUCCGGAAACGGACGCUAAUACCGCAUAAUGCAGCGGCACCGCAAGGUGACAGUUGUUAAAGAUUUAUCGCUUGAGGAGGAGCUUGCGGCAGAUUAGCUAGUUGGUAAGGUAAUGGCUUACCAAGGCUACGAUCUGUAACCGGUCUAAGAGGACGGUCGGUCACACUGACACUGAAUAACGGGUCAGACUCCUACGGGAGGCAGCAGUCGGGAAUUUUGGGCAAUGGGCGAAGACCUGACCAGCAACGCCGCGUGGAGGAUGAAGUAUUUCGGUAUGUAAACUUCGAAAGAAUAGGAAGAAUAAAUGACGGUACUAUUUAUAAGGUCCGGCUAACUACGUGCCAGCAGCCGCAGU
rnacentral:rRNA from 1 species